UUUUACUGAAAAGAGCCUGGAAUGAGGACGGGUGGUAACAGUCCUCACUGCAGAGCCUAGACAUUUUGUGAUGUCUGACUAAUGCUGCUAGGAGAGGAUGUAGGAAAGAAAAGAGUUCUCCAAUUGACAGGAAGCAAAGAAGAAAUGAUUGAAAAGGGCUGGCACUGCUUAUAGAUUAAAGACAGACAGAAUUUAGAUACCACUGAGAUCCCAUUGCAGAGUGUAAUGAAACGAAACAAUACUCAUGUCAUUUAUGUGCUGCAGAUUUCUGAGGGAUGUGCAGAAGAAAUGCAUUAGUAAAUUGGGAAUUCACACUACCUGAGCCAUCACCAAGACUGGAACAUUCAUUGGCAUUUUCAGAAGAUAAUAUACAAAAUCACUACAAUAAUAAAAGAUAGUAAAAAUAAGUAAUGAGCAUUUAAAUAAUAAAUUAGAUAUCAAGUUAAACUGGAGAGUGAUGCCUUGUAGCUACAGGAGAAAUUCUAUGGUCCAAAGGAGAGCGUCUGAUCCCCAGUGGUGUUUUUGACUUUAGCACUCUUACUUGAGUUUUCACAUGUAUGUUCUUAGGCCAUGUAUAAUACGAUAUGUAUCAGACUUUAAUCUAAAAUGCAUAGCAGGAGAACUAUUUGGUUACUUCUAGAGAUGUAAGAAACAAGUUUGGGAAUUGCAGCUUC